AGGCACUUCGUAUAAUGGUAUUACAACGGGCUCCAACCCCGCUAAAGAGAGUUCGAUUCUUUCAGUGCCUGCCA
rnacentral:tRNA from 1 species